AGUGAACGCUGGCGGUAGGCCUUACACAUGCAAGUCGAACGGCAGCACAGUAAGAGCUUGCUCUUACGGGUGGCGAGUGGCGGACGGGUGAGGAAUACAUCGGAAUCUACUUUUUCGUGGGGGAUAACGUAGGGAAACUUAUGCUAAUACCGCAUACGACCUACGGGUGAAAGCAGGGGAUCUUCGGACCUUGCGCGAUUGACUGAGCCGAUGUCGGAUUAGCUAGUUGGCGGGGUAAAGGCCCACCAAGGCGACGAUCCGUAGCUGGUCUGAGAGGAUGAUCAGCCACACUGGAACUGAGACACGGUCCAGACUCCUACGGGAGGCAGCAGUGGGGAAUAUUGGACAAUGGGCGCAAGCCUGAUCCAGCCAUACCGCGUGGGUGAAGAAGGCCUUCGGGUUGUAAAGCCCUUUUGUUGGGAAAGAAAAGCAGCAGGUUAAUACCCCGCUGUUCUGACGGUACCCAAAGAAUAAGCACCGGCUAACUUCGUG
rnacentral:rRNA from 1 species